GGGCCUGUAAUGGUUUCGACAGGCGGAUGGAACUGAAUGAAGCAUGCCGUAGCGCACAGCCUACGUAAAAAGGUGCACCCAAAUAAACGCUAACAACGUUGAACUCCAGGCAGCCUGAGUCAUAAGGCUCCCCCGCUUUUACGCGGGACGAAGUCAUCGGAUAUAGACGCCGUACUCCAGUGACUUAAAAGGAGGCAUCUGCUCCGGGCAAGUUAAGCUGUCAGAAAACCCGGCUAAGACAUCUGUCAGACCGAUCCGGUUAAGUUCGCCGGUUUCCUUGCGGAUCAGGUACGAAAGCCAGAUAAGCAUGUAGAAGACUCAGGGAGUCACGUUUGGACGCGGUUUCGAUUACCGCCAGGUCCAUUA
rnacentral:tmRNA from 1 species